rnacentral:rRNA from 1 species
AUGGAUGGAUUUUGUAGGCCCAUAAGCCCGCAAAUCCAGGUGGUGCCGAAAGGCGACGGCUUCUCAGGCAGCUUGAAAUACAACCUUGGCGCCCGAAGCCGCCAGCUUGGCACGUACCUGAGCGCCGACGAAGACGGGCAUGGCGUCUCCCUCCACCCCCGCCGGGCGUCGAUGAACACGGCUUGGGCGGUGCACUUGCACCAGGGCCAGAACGUGCAGUGUCUGCUCCUCCUCAGCACCGCCUACAGCGGCUACCUUGCCGCCACGGACGCGCCGGCGCCGUUCGGCCACCGCGGGCUCCGCGUCGAGCAGCGCAACUACGACCAUCCGGAGGUGAUUGCAAUCCUUUGGUUUGCCAUCCCUUCAGAAUCUGGGGACGAAGUCCUGCUUCGCCACAUCAACCGUGGCUGCCUCCGUGCCAACGGGAGGUACCUCCGCUGGAACAACGGCGUUAGCGUCCAGGCCAUCAACAACAUCGCAAACGUCACCACGAUGAUGCACUGGGUCGUGGAGCACACCCCCGCCAGGGAGGGCAUGCCUCCCCUUCCAGCUCCGACUGUGUUGCAGCUUCACUUCCCCGCCGCCAUGUUGCUGAACGUGGCCACGCGGCUGAUCCACUACGUGUGGCUGAACGACGACGUCGACGGGCCCCUCAUCGAGCACGGAGAGUUCUUCUUCGUUGGGAGGUCCGUGUUCCGCCUGAGGAACGAGCUGGCCAUGCAGCUGGGCGCCAUCAUGGACGUCUCCGACCUCGUCAUGUGCCUCCGCACAGCCCACGCGGAGCUGCGGUACCCGGAUGUCCAUGCAGAGUAG